UACGUAGGGGGCAAGCGUUGUCCGGAAUCAUUGGGCGUAAAGAGCGUGUAGGCGGUCCGAUAAGUCCGCUCUGAAAGCCCGGGGCUCAACCCCGGGAGGCGGGCGGAUACUGUCGGGCUAGAGUCCGGAAGAGGCAAGUGGAAUUCCUGGUUUAGCGGUGAAAUGCGCAGAUAUCAGGAGGAACACCGAUGGCGAAGGCAGCUUGCUGGGACGGUACUGACGCUGAGACGCGAAAGCGUGGGGAGCGAACAGG
rnacentral:rRNA from 1 species